rnacentral:lncRNA from 1 species
AUGGGCUAGGUCUUGAAUUGGGCUUCGAAAACUCAGCAGGAUUAAAGGUUCCUUUAGCGAAUAUUCUUCGAACAGAUGUUUUGUUUCCUUAAUUGGAUGAUCUGAUUAGCAAACAAAACUAGGUUAUGGCUUCCUUCUGAACCCUAAGAAACGGCGCUACUUGGCGCACAAGUAGAAUUUGCGUGGAUUCCAUAAAUAGAAAAGAGCGCGAGAUCACAAUGUAACAGGCCCGGCCCACUGGAUAUGGUAUCCAAUGUUGAAGCAUUCUAUGCAAUCUUGCUUGUACUUGGAUGAUGGAAGCAUGAAGUUCCACAUCUGGUUUGGUUAUUUAUUUUAGCAAAAUGAGGCCAUCAUAAAACGCCAACAAUCUCCCCCUUUGACAAUUUUUGGCUAAAACAACCUAAGAUUAUUUCAACUGUUCUAGAGAGAUACAUAAACUACCUUUCUUCAAAUCAACAUAAGCACACAGUCAUGAAGUAAAGUAGAACAUCUUCAAAUGCUUCUUUCAAUAGCUCCUUAGAUGAAAAUAGCAAAUAAGAAUAGAAGUAUCAAAAUAUAACAACAGAGGCAUGCAACAGCGGAAUGGUAAGCACAACUAGCCUCACAUGAAUUCGCCAAUAGAGAGUAUAAGAUUCUCAUAAUAAGAAACACUAGGGAAAAAUAAAUUCCCUCGAGACUGAGAAAAAUAAAUUCUCAGGAACAGAUGAUGCUUCGGCAUACAUUAGCACAUUAUGUGCUGAGCAGAAAAAUAUUGCUCCCCCUCAAUAUCAGAGGCGAGUACACCAUAAUGCAUCUUACUCUCCCUCAAUUCGUGCAUAAUAGAUAAUUUACAGGCAUAAUCACUAUUACUCCCCCUCACUGCGUUUGCACGAAAAAAUUACUUGUUUUCAGAUGAUCCAUCAUCUGAUAGCACAUUAGGGAUGAUUCAACAUCCAAUAGCUCAUCAUAGCACAAUACAAUACCAAACUACUCCCCCUUUUUAGCCACAAAAUAGACAAAUAGGGUCUUCAUAAAAUAAUAUCCAGAAGUAGUGCAGAGAAUAUCAGAACAUAAAGUGCAGAAAAAUAUUACAGACCAUGCACACUAGGUGCUAAAUUCAGGGCUCAGCCCACAUACUUGAAAAUAAAUCCAUAAAACAAAGGAGAAAAUUACACAGAAGCACUUUCUGAGGAAUCACUUCCUUCCUCUUCAGCAUAUGACUCAGCUUCCUCUUCUUCAGCACUUGCAUCAUCAUCUGCACCAGCUGCUUGAUCUGUAGCCUCUUCAACCCUCAGAGCAUGAAUCAUCCUUUCAAAUUGCAGCUUCUUUUCAUCCAGCUCCUUGCAGUUAGCUUCCAGCAUAUCUAUCAUCUCCUUCCUUGUCAUGGGAGUAUCAGCAGCAGCAGUGGAUGGUCCAGCAAUAUCUGGAGCAUGCUGUUUACUGUACAACUUCUGAUGAAUGGCUAGGGGAGUUGCCCUUUUCUUAGCAGAUUCACCCUCAUGUCUUAUGCUAGGGUGUUGGGAAAAGAUGAUAUCACAAAGCAGUGUUGGAAAAGCAAUGAGUUGCUUGGUGAUUGAGGUCUUAGCAUGCUGCACAACUUGAUUAAAAAUAUACUGACCAGCAUUAAACUUUGUACCUGUACCAAUCAUAUAAAUGAGCUUACCCAGACUUGUUGCAACAUCAGAGGCGUACGUAGUGGGAACCCAAUUUACAGAGGCAAUACGAUUCAGGAUGGCAUGCUUUUGAGUUAGCUUUACUGCAGGAUGGUAUGCUUUUAGUUAGUAGAUGAACUUCCUAGUAACUAUUUGAACCAUAUAAUUUGUAGAUGAUCAUAUGAUACAAUUUAAUUCUUGAUAUUUUUUUAGUUAUUUAUGUGUUUAAUAUGAUUUUUAUAAGUUGACAAAUUUGUGAAUUGAUAUGUGAUUAUCAACACUAACUUUUGGAACUAGAAUUAAGAUAAUUGAUCAAUCAAUAAUGACUUUAGACAUAAUAAACUAUCGAAAUUUGAUAGUCAGAAUUAAUGUAGGAUAAAACUUUCAAUUAUUUCGGAUUCGCGUGAGACAUUAGGAUGUUGUUGUCGCCAAAUAGGGUUUUGAGCCAAUACAAUAGCCUUAACUAUUUUAUCAAUUCAUCAUGAUAUUAGGAGUACAGUGUAAUAUAUGACUGCAAUUAUCAAAUAGUGAUACCUAAUCAAUCCUCUUUAAUCUUUGAAAUAAAACUGAAUAAUUGAGUUGCUUUUGGUUGAGCCAAUGGGCUUGACAAAUUUAAAAGGAUUUAGAGGCCCAAUAUUGAAAACAGCAACAGAACAAGCCCACACGUGAAAAACCCUAGAAUCGAAAUUCAGAGUCAUCUUCUUCGAACGCCUUUGUUUGGUUUAGCGAUUUGCGAGCAGCGAAUUUCUUGAAUCCAAGCUCCAAACAUGGCGAAAACCAAUCGCACAGUGUUGCAAUUCUCUUCAUCUUCUUCGUCUUCUCAGAGCUUAUCCGCUAAGGUUCACCCUCUUG